UGUGAAUUGCAGAAUUCCGCGAAUCAUCGAGUCUUUGAACGCAAGUUGCGCCCGAGGCUUGUCCAAGGGCAUUUCCGCUAGAGCGUC
rnacentral:rRNA from 1 species